rnacentral:rRNA from 1 species
UCGAGAAUCUUUCGCAAUGGGCGAAAGCCUGACGAAGCGACGCCGUGUGAGCGAAGAAGGCCUUCGGGUUGUAAAGCUCUUUCGCUAGGGAACAAGAAAGAUGGGAUAAUACCCCGUCGAUUUGAUGGUACUUGGUAAAGAAGCACCGGCUAACUCCGUGCCAGCAGCUGCGGUAAUACGGAGGGUGCAAGCAUUGAUCGGAAUUACUGGGCGUAAAGGGCGCGUAGGCGGCCUAGAAAGUCAGAUGUGAAAUUCCGGGGCUCAACCCCGGAGCGGCAUUUGAAACUCCUAGGCUAGAGUACAGUUAGGGAAAACGGAAUUCCACGUGUAGCGGUGAAAUGCGUAGAUAUGUGGAAGAACACCGGUGGUGAAGACGGUUUUCUGGGCUGAAACUGACGCUGAGGCGCGAAAGCUAGGGGAGCAAACAGGAUUAGAUACCCCCGUAGUCC